rnacentral:tRNA from 3 species
GGGCCCAUAGCUCAGCUGGGAGAGCGCUUGAAUGGCAUUCAAGAGGUCAGGAGUUCGAUCCUCCUUGGGUCCA